AUACGUAGGGUGCGAGCGUUGUCCGGAAUUACUGGGCGUAAAGAGCUCGUAGGUGGUUUGUCGCGUCGUCUGUGAAAUUCCGGGGCUUAACUCCGGGCGUGCAGGCGAUACGGGCAUAACUUGAGUACUGUAGGGGAGACUGGAAUUCCUGGUGUAGCGGUGAAAUGCGCAGAUAUCAGGAGGAACACCGGUGGCGAAGGCGGUUCGCUGGGCAGUAACUGACGCUGAGGAGCGAAAGCAUGGGUAGCGAACAGGAUUAGAUACCCUGGUAGUCCAUGCCGUAAACGGUGGGCGCUAGGUGUAGGGGUCUUCCACGACUUCUGUGCCGUAGCUAACGCAUUAAGCGCCCCGCCUGGGGAGUACGGCCGCAAGGCUAAAACUCAAAGGAAUUGACGGGG
rnacentral:rRNA from 1 species